rnacentral:lncRNA from 1 species
UAGCUCAAAUUGGGGUACUUUACAAAGCAAAAUCCUAAAUUGCUCCUGCUAAAAAUUUUGGAGAAAAAAUGUAAGGAGAAGCUCAGAUAAUUGCUGGGGAAAGUAGAUUCCUGGAGAAAGGCAAACAAUCUGGCUCCCUGUUGACUUUGCCUGGGUCAAAGGGAAAAGUUGAGUCACUGGCUUCUGCUUACAUUUUUUCUUUCAUCUUAUUGAUAACAGGAAUAUGAGUCCAGCUCUCCAAGGUUUUCUGUCUGAGUUCCCCCCUUUGCUUGCCUGCCUUCCCAAGACCAGUCCAUUUCCUCUCUUUUAUCUUACACUGCAACUUUCAGCUUUGCUUUUCAAAGAGGCUUGAGCUGACUCUGUGCAGAGGUAAUGGCUGCUUGAAGGAAGAGCUAAAUGUUCAUUUAUAAAAGUAUUUUGGCACAUGAGUAGGUAAAAGGGUCCCAGCCACACUGCAGGAAAACAGGCAUUUUCAUUCUUCCUGUUUUUCAGCAAGUCCUUGGAAUAAAUGAUUUGAUAUUUGGAAAAUAAAGAGGCACCUACAUCUCUGUUUCAAGAGCUUCAUGGAUGGGGAUGGUUGCUGCUGGUGAACUUCCUUGGAAGUGUAGAAGUUUCAUGAUUAUCUUAUAUAAUUUGGCUUCAUAAUUGCUGAUAAUGGUCAGGGUUUCCAUGCAGGAGGAGAUGUUCAAGGCACCAGCAGGACCAUGGAUGAAUGCCUGACGCCAAAGGCAGGCCCUUCAAACCCAGCACAGCUCCAUGGUGAUGUUCCAGCAGCAUCUCUGUGGCACUUCCUGGGAAGGACGUGGGGCUGCUGGAUGUGGAACCACUGGUGGAGGCAUUUUGAUAAACGGGUGCAUCGCAGGACUUCAGAAGAUAACUGAAGUCACCACAGGACAAAGCAACAUUGGCCACACACUAAAAGCUGUCCCUCUGGCUCUCACUGAAAUUAAUAUUUUAGUAUCAGCAGGAAGGAGUGUUCCACAGCUGGGAUCUGGUAAGGUGGUCACAGUCUUCUGCCUGGGCUCACUCAUGACAGAGGAUUCUUUUGCAAACAAGAAUAUGCCAUGCUGC